rnacentral:rRNA from 1 species
UUACUGGGCGUAAAGCGCACGUAGGCGGAUUAUUAAGUGAGAGGUGAAAUCCCAGGGCUCAACCCUGGAACUGCCUUUCAUACUGGUAGUCUUGAGUUCGAGAGAGGUAAGUGGAAUUCCGAGUGUAGAGGUGAAAUUCGUAGAUAUUCGGAGGAACACCAGUGGCGAAGGCGGCUUACUGGCUCGAUACUGACGCUGAGGUGCGAAAGUGUGGGGAGCAAACAGGAUUAGAUACCCUGGUAGUCCACACCGUAAACGAUGAAUGCCAGACGUCAGCAAGCAUGCUUGUUGGUGUCACACCUAACGGAUUAAGCAUUCCGCCUGGGGAGUACGGUCGCAAGAUUAAAACUCAAAUGAAUUGACGGGGGCCCGCACAAGCGGUGGAGCAUGUGGUUUAAUUCGAUGCAACGCGAAGAACCUUACCUACUCUUGACAUACUAGAAACUUUUCAGAGAUGAAUUGGUGCCUUCGGGAAUCUAGAUACAGGUGCUGCAUGGCU